CAGGGAGAAGUCACUGAUGGUAUUAGCAGUGAUAGGGCAUUAACAAAGCUGUCACAGCAAACCCAGACACAGUGGCAGAAUUAAUUUUUCCUUCAUUAAUAAGAUCCUAAUUUGCAUGAUUAAUAUGUCUCAGUCCAUGAACACAGGCAGCAUCGGAUAAAAUGCCACCUGCUGAGCAAAAAGAAUAAGACAGAGAAAUGACUUGACACAGCUGCAGGCGCAGGAGCUGCCGCGUUUCCCCCAAACAAUGCUGGAAAUGCUUGAAAUGUCGCCAUUGUUGGAACAACAGCUAGAAGAAUGCAGAGGCAAGCAUUCCGGAGGAGUCCUUGGAAAGGUGAGCUCCAGGGUAAGCACAAUGGCUGCCGUUGGGCCAGGAUUAGGACUGCCUGCUCCCUGGACUCCUUCCUCACCUCACAUGGCUUCCUGAGCUGGCCCCAGGCAAAGAGGCAGGACAUUCCAGGCCACAGUGGUGCCACCCAUCAGCCCAGACACUUCCUGCAGCUGUGAGCCUCAGCUGCUUUGGGCUGGCCAGCCUCAGGGCAGAAUCUACCAAAAGCACAAGCAACAGGGAGCCAAGGGGAGGGGAGCUGGAAACUCCUGGGAAGAGGCUGCAGACCCUCUGUGGGUGCUGGACACAGCUCCCGUCCCUGGGGAGGAAGGCACCCAUGGGUCCCAGUGCAGUGCUCAGCCGGCAACCCCGAAGGUGGGGUUUUGGGAGGCCACUGGGCAGGAGCUGCCACAGCAGAAAGCCGCGCUGCCCAUGCCACUUUGUGUGGUGAUGGGAAUGUUGCAGACCUGCAGGCACUGGUCACUUGUGGCUAUUGUGCCCUUGAGGGGCUACAUUUUUACUUCAUUGCUUUUUAAUGUAAACUGAAUGAGCCAGAGCUGGUUAGCGGCCACCAUGCCAGACAGGGUGGGAGGGAAUGCCCUGAACCCGGUUGGGAGUAAAGUGUGGGUCUCCCACUCACCUAACUGCUCCCGGGACACGCGUUCCACCCCCUCGGGCUCCAUUUCCUCAUCUGAGGCUCAGAGGGCUGGGCUUGGGGGUCCCCAGAGCCCCAUCUUAACAUCCCACCACCUGCGCUGCUCACAUUCCCUCAGUGCACUUCCCCCUGCUCCCUCGGCAGGCAGAAUCUCCCUCUCCUGCGGCCCUUGAGUUCCUCGCCCCCAUUGGCCGUGCUCCACGUCUCCACCCUAGGGACAGACCUCAGGCUCUGAGAGGGCGCGUCUGCAACCCAGAGGACACCUGGUGCCUCCCCUUUCCUCCUUGUCCCAGGCCAUUACUGUUCUUGCCUCCCCACCCUACUCAAUACUAGUAGAAGACCCCAGUGGAAUCCCUCUUUCUGGAAGCUUCCCAGAGCUGUGGCUUAUCAACACCUCCCUCUCCUCUAUUCAGAAUGAACCUCAGCCUCUGGCACAAUGCUCCUUGCCUCGGGUCAUUGCAACAACGUGGCCUGUCUCGGUAACAAACGGGGCACAGGCAGGAGGGGGGGUAGAGCCUGGGGAUUGGACAGAGGAAGUGGGCAGCUCAUUCUCGGUGCCAACCAGCAGCAUGGCCUUGGGAAGCAAUGAGCCUCUCCGGGUUCUCAGCUUCCUCCUCUGGAAUGUAAGCACAGCAAUGUCUGUCCCUGUGGUUGCCGUCCCCUCAGGAUUUUUAGUCCCCGUUAGCUUCCCUCUCACCCUCAAGGGCAGCAAAUGUGGCAGGUCUAAUCUUCAGUACCCCAACCACAUCCAGGGGUCAAACACCCGGGUAUAAAUGUAAGAGCAGGCAGCUCUCGUCUUCCUUUGACGUCCUUUCGUUUAUUUUUUCUACAUAAUCUAUAGAUGGCUUUCAGUAAUUCAGACAGUAUGUACCAGAAGGACCACAUUCAGCCAGUGCCUGAGUUCCAGAGUCGGUCAUGUGACCUGGGCUGGGAACCUGCACAGGUGGUGCAUUGAGGAAAAUGUUGAAUAGAAAGCAUUCCCUGGCUGCCUUCUCUGCAGAGUGCUCACUCCGUGAUGUGGACUAGAAGCCCUCGGCAGUUAGGUCUGUCUCCACCUGCAGCAGCUCAUCUCGAAAAUCCCACCCUCACAGCGCUGGGCCCACUGCUGUGCUGCCUGAGCCCCUCACGAGCCAACACCCAGUUUUAGUCCAGGUCUUGUGCUCCUCCUUCUGCCGGCUAAGCUCUUCUACUCGGCCAGCAACACCCAGGGGAAACACUAUACUCAGACGCAGAGAGCAGAGCGCUGGAUGCUGGGGUGGGGGGGGGGGGGGGGGGGGGGGGGGAGGCCAGGAGACUGGAAGAUGCAGGUAGGUGGGUGAUAAUGUGUGACAGGAGGACUGGAGUCAGUAGCCCCCACACUGCUUAACAACAGGGACACGCUCUGAGAAACACAUCUCUGGCAAACUCCAUUACUGUGCAAACACUGUAGAGUGUGCUGAGACAGCUCCCACACCACUGGAGGACACAACCUCCUCGUGGGAGCCCUGUCACACAUGCAGCUCAUUGUUGACUCUGAGGACCAUCAUGCCGCCCAGGACUGUAUGAUAGUGGAGAUUCGCCAAGAGAAUGCACUUUAAGAACACACACACACACACACACACACACACACAUGCACACAUGCACAUACGUAUGGGUGAUGGAGAUAUUCGUUUGCCUGACUUAUGUAUAUCAAAAUAUCAUGUAAAAUGCUUUAAAAUCAUGUUGUACACCUUAAAUACAUACAAUAAAACAAAGAAGUACUUCCACAGCCACAUGGUAAGUUAAAAUUCUCAUAUACACUGUUAUGGUUUGCAUAUGAGGUGUCCCCCAAAAGCUCAUGUGUGAAGAAAUGUAAGAAUGUCCAGAGGCGAAAUGACUAAUUAGGAGACCUGUGACCUAAUCAGUGGAUCAAUCCACUGAGCUGGAUGGUAACUGUACGCAGGUAGAUUAUGACUGGAGGAAGUAGGACACUGGGGUGUGCCUUUAGGGGGUAUAUUUUGUCCCUGGUGACCAGAUUGUGCGCUCGCUCGUUCUCUCUCUCUCUCUCUCUCUCUCUCUGUCUUCUGACUGCCGGGUCCUGGCCCGCUUUCCUCAUCCAUGCCUUUCCGCCAUGAUGUCCUGCUCCACCUUGGUCUCUGGGCAAUGGCACUUACUCUCUAUGGAGUCCUCUGGAGCCAUGAGUCAAACUUUUCCCCCUCUAAAAUUGUUCUAGUCAGGUCUUUUGGUGACAGUAGUGAAAAAGCUGACUGAAAUAAAUUGAUCCUGAGAAAUGCAACUAACUUGACCACGUGGUUCAGAAGCCUUUGUGACUAGUUUGUGGGGGGAGGAAUUUUGAAAAAAGUUUAGAGAUGGAAAAAUUUUUGUACAGAGCAAG
rnacentral:lncRNA from 1 species